GCGUGCGCCAGAGAAGUGGUGGGCCUCCACGCCUCACCAGGUGAGGUGAGCCGCCAACUUGGCGUAUCCUGACCUGCCCGAGGCUCCAGCCUCGAACCCGCCAUGCACGUGGACAGCCAAGCCGUGUGCUGCUGCCUCACGUGGAGUCUUCCUCUAGAAUGAUCUUUUAACAUAAAAAUAUCAUUAUUGUGUAUGUAUGAUCUAUGUGCAUGCACCUGCCACAGCGUGUGAAUAGAAGUCAGAAGACAACUUUGUGUGGUCAGAUCCCUACUUCCGCCUAUUCUAAAGGAUCCAGUGAUGGAACUCUGGGGUGCAGGAUUCCAGGCACCGUACAAAGAUGUUUGCAAGAAAAGCAGAGGUAAAAACAGCUGCUCCAAAAGUCAGACACCUGUGUGGGUUAAGUCACCCCAGCAUCCAGGAGCUUUUAUUCAUUCUUACAUCGCUGUAAGUAGAUAUAAAUAAAUAAAUAAAUAAAUAAAUAAAUAAAUAAAUAAAUAAGGGAAGCCGUGUGUCUGGUUGGCUUUGGUGCUCCCUGGGUGAAGGGGAAGAAUUUGCAGACUGUUCUGGUGACCUGGACGCAGAGCAGUGGUGAUAAACAGCAUGCUGCUAACUAUUAGUGGUAACAAUAUUCCUGGCCAAAAAAAA